CACCGCGGUUAAACGAGAGGCUCAAGUUGAUGCAUUUCGGCGUAAAGCGUGGUUAAGAAAAAAAGACACUAAGAUCGAACACUUUUAGUGCUGUUAUACGUUAUCAAAAGUUAGAAGUCCACCUACGAAAGUGGUCUUAAUAAAACUCUGAACCCACGAAAGCUAAGGUA
rnacentral:rRNA from 1 species